rnacentral:rRNA from 1 species
CCUACGGGUGGCAGCAGUGGGGAAUAUUGCACAAUGGGGGAAACCCUGAUGCAGCGACGCCGCGUGAGUGAAGAAGUAAUUCGUUAUGUAAAGCUCUAUCAGCAGGGAAGAAAAUGACGGUACCUGAGUAAGAAGCCCCGGCUAACUACGUGCCAGCAGCCGCGGUAAUACGUAGGGGGCAAGCGUUAUCCGGAUUUACUGGGGGGAAAGGGAGCGUAGACGGCAGUGCAAGUCUGGAGUGAAAGGCGGGGGCUCAACCCGCGGACUGCUCUGGAAACUGUACGGCUGGAGUGCAGGAGAGGGAAGUGGAAUUCCUAGUGUAGCGGUGAAAUGCGUAGAUAUUAGGAGGAACACCAGUGGCGAAGGCGGCUUACUGGACUGUAACUGACGUUGAGGCUCGAAAGCGUGGGGAGCAAACAGGAUUAGAUACCCGUGUAGUC